ensembl:lncRNA
UUGCAUAUUUGAAUUAGCAUCUUUAUUCGUUUUUAUUAUAUACUUUGUGUUUUUACAUAAAGAGACAUAUUUCUUUUACACAUAUAGAUUAUAUGAUUAAUUUGUAUCUGUAUAUAUGUACACCUUAAAUAAAUCUUACAUUAACACCAAGAAAAUAAAACAUUUACAGUGCAAGAAUGUUCCUCAGUGGUCAACUUUCACUUGUUUGCUCACCCUGGUAAACCACAAUCACUGCCAAGUUAAACCGGUUUGGGUUUUUUUGUUUGUUUUUUUUGUUUUUUUUGGGUUCCUCUCACCAUUCGUGCUCUCGCUCAAAAAAAAUAAGUAACGUGAACUUUGGAAAUUUGUUGUUUUGAAAGGAGAGGUUUUAAGGAUGGAAGCGAACAGGGACUGUAUGCACAUGUGACCUCCACAGGAUAGUUUGGGAAAUGGGCUUAUUUGCCUUGUUGCCUUUAGUUAGAUAACAAAAUUGACAGCAGCCUCGUGUUUGUGCAAAUAUGAAGCUACCAGCAGUAAAUUAUUGGAACCUAUCUGCACUGACACCCUUGUAAUACAGUUUCUUCUUUUAUACACUUUGGUUUCUGUGCUGAUGAAACAGCCAAUACUACAGUGUAGAAAUACUCAAAAUACACAUAACAUUCCAAAAGAAAAAGUACUCAAGAGUGGCAGAUUUUAGAAUAUGUAUAUUCCUGGAUCAUCACUUUAACACUGGAGCUGAUUUAAAAACUUAAUGUAUUUCCUCAUAGCAUCAACAAAGUUUUAUCUUAAUCUAUAACAUUACAUCAGAAUUUAUUUCUUGAUUAUAUUUCGUAUCGUUAAGCUAUUAUUUAAAAAAAUAUUUUACCUUCAUUUAACCCUUGUGUUGUCCUGUGGGCCAAAAUUGACCCGUUUUAGUUUGAAAAUGUGGGAAAAAAUAUAUAUUUUCAGUGAAACUUCUGAUGUCCACAUUUUCAACAUUUUAGGGAAAUCUUUGAACAUUUUUUGGUGGAAAAAAAGAAAUGUUAAAAAUCUACCAAAAUCCAACGAAUUUCUCAACGACAUCCACUUUCUCAUCUAUCUGUGCAAAAAAAAAAAAAAAAAAAAAAGCAUUCCCCAAAAUGUCAAACUAUUCUUAUAAAGAAGGGGAAGAGAAGGAGCUGGAGGUGAGGUGUGAUCGCAUUAAUGAGAGUGUGUGGGCGCUCUGAGGGAACAGUUUAAUGGCAAAUGUGGACAGGAGGAUUUCGCAAAGUACAUGAGUCAUCGCAGAGGCCAUAAAUUCUUUGAAUCUUGGCGGUUGGGUCAUAUGAGAACACAGCACGGUGGAUGCAGGCGUUCUACGUUGCAUGAGGAGGCAAUAUCUGUUUUUUUUAAAGCCGUAAUUCUCUUAGCAGGAACUCAACAGGCAUGUUUACAGUGUGAUGGAAUCAGACGGUGAGCAAUUUAAAAAUAAUUUUUGCCACCGGCAUACAAUAUCCAAGUCAUUUUCCACCCUCUAUUACAAAAAAUAAAUAAAUACAAGUGAGUAAAGUACAGGUGUGAACUGUUUGCAAAAAAACAGGAGUUUAUAUUUACAAAGUAAAACCAAAUUAAUUCUUGGUGUUUCUCCCUCGAAUGGAUGCAUAAAAGUGAACAUACUGUAUAUAGUUGGUCUAAGCUCAGCUGUACAGUCGGUGGGUAACCAGCCCAAAAUAUUCCUCGCAUGCAUUUCUCCUCACACACUCAGAGAAUCUAUUUACUAGUAUUUUACAGUUAACUCCUACGAAGCUGCUGUACAGAGGCUGUGUUGAGGUAAAGCAGGUGUUUCUGGCCAGCUCUAAGGGGGAGGAAUGGUCGUCCACUCUAUAUGGUGGAGGGGGAGGACAGUGGGG